GAUGAACGCUGGCGGCGUGCCUAAUACAUGCAAGUCGAGCGAACAGAUGAGGAGCUUGCUCCUCUGACGUUAGCGGCGGACGGGUGAGUAACACGUGGAUAACCUACCUAUAAGACUGGGAUCACUUCGGGAAACCGGAGCUAAUACCGGAUAAUAUAUUGAACCGCAUGGUUCAAUAGUGAAAGACGGUUUUGCUGUCACUUAUAGAUGGAUCCGCGCCGCAUUAGCUAGUUGGUAAGGUAACGGCUUACCAAGGCAACGAUGCGUAGCCGACCUGAGAGGGUGAUCGGCCACACUGGAACUGAGACACGGUCCAGACUCCUACGGGAGGCAGCAGUAGGGAAUCUUCCGCAAUGGGCGAAAGCCUGACGGAGCAACGCCGCGUGAGUGAUGAAGGUCUUCGGAUCGUAAAACUCUGUUAUUAGGGAAGAACAAAUGUGUAAGUAACUAUGCACGUCUUGACGGUACCUAAUCAGAAAGCCACGGCUAACUACGUG
rnacentral:rRNA from 1 species